GAUCCUGGCUCAGGAUGAACGCUAGCGACAGGCUAACACAUGCAAGUCGAGGGGCAGCACGGGAGUAGCAAUACAACUGGUGGCGACCGGCGCACGGGUGAGUAACGCGUAUGCAACCUACCUAUCAGAGGGGAAUAACCCGGCGAAAGUCGGACUAAUACCGCAUAAAACAGGGGCACCGCAUGGUGAUAUUUGUUAAAGAAAUUCGCUGAUAGAUGGGCAUGCGUUCCAUUAGGUAGUUGGUGAGGUAACGGCUCACCAAGCCGACGAUGGAUAGGGGAACUGAGAGGUUGGUCCCCCACACUGGUACUGAGACACGGACCAGACUCCUACGGGAGGCAGCAGUGAGGAAUAUUGGUCAAUGGGCGAGAGCCUGAACCAGCCAAGUCGCGUGAAGGAAGAAGGAUCUAUGGUUCGUAAACUUCUUUUGCAGGGGAAUAAAGUGCAGGACGUGUCCUGUUUUGUAUGUACCCUGAGAAUAAGGAUCGGCUAACUCCGUGCCAGCCGCCGC
rnacentral:rRNA from 1 species